UUCUGAUGAACCUCCCUCUGCUCUCUCCCAUGGAGGAGCCCAAGCACACCAAACCAAUCUUUCCUCCGUGCCAGGAAAAACAAACUCAACCCAACUCUUCCUCCAUGAAGAACCACAACCUACCAAGCCAUGGAGGAACUGGUUCGGUCCUGGACUUCAUCUGGAUGUAGGACAUCCUUGGCAUGCGAUGGCUUGUCCUUCAGGGUUGUUUCGUGAAGACUAAACAGACAUUUCCCAUGGAAAGAAGUUACGGAGAUUGUGGGAAAAAUGGAAGAGCUGGACCCUCCCCGAGGUUGUGUGGGGAGUGGGCGCAGGGGAAGGUCCCCUCGAUCUCCUCUUGGUGCCACAGGUUUCAUGGAGACUUUGUCUUGUAGUCACUUGUGCUUUGGGGCACAUCCAUCAAAAAAAAGCUGAGGCCACGUGGUCCAAGACUAUGGAGAUACUGAGGCUUCAUGAAGGAGUUUGUGUCCCCGGCACCACAGUACAUGACUGUGUUGUAUUCACAGCCAGUUCCACUUGGGAAGUGAGUUGGUCUAAAUCAUCGUGAAGACACGACUGGCUUUAAGGCUGGUAUGUGGUUGGUGUCAGACAUCGACUGGGCUCACAGGACAGUGGCUGCAGCAGAGUGGCCGGUGGCGAUGGGGUGGCCAGUCCCUGCACUGGAGCUGCCCUAGGAGCAGUGCCGGUGCUGCACCGAGCUCUGCCCCUUCUGGGUGUGCUCCUUGGCUGGCUUCCGUGGUAUUUACUAUGAAUCUUCACCUAUUUCAUGGCUGAUAGGGCAAAACCCUGAAGAACAGUCAGUUGGAUGAGAAUGACUCACACAGAACAAAGUUGUUAUGAAUGGUCUCCCAAGCCGUACAGUUGCGCUGUCUCAGUCCGUACUGGUCACCAGCCCUGGGGUGAUGUGGAGGAGCUCUAGAGAAGUGUUUUAUGAUACAAGCAGCAAAUUUGUACCUUGUGUGCCUCUGAAAACCGCAAUCCCCUUCACCGUCAGCAUGAAUCGAGGACGCAGAAGACUGAGUACACAAAGCAGUUUCAGACACAGCAGACGGCAGUCAAGUCACAACCCAGCUCUUCCCUUAUUGACACUGGAGCAGGAGCAUCCCGUGAACCCCGCCGGGAUGCAGGAGCAUCCCGUGAACCCCGCCGGGAUGCAGGAGCAUCCCAUGAACCACGCCAGGAUGCAGGAGCUUUGAUUUGCUGGGGAUGAGCAGUUCCACGUUGCCAGUCCUGAUGUGUGAACAUCAUUUCUGCAGCUGGUUCCAGCCGUGGUAACAGUUGGUUCGUAUCUGAUGGGCCACUUAUUUGGAGGACGAGCAAACCAUAGGAAAUAUUUCCAGGGGAAAUAAAAGACAGUGUUCAUCUGCCUAGGCAUUGAUAUUGCUUCUUUCUUCUUUUUUAUCUAUAAACCAGACUUCUGGUAAGAUGAACUCUGAAGGAAGCAGAUUUAGUACUUACAGCUUAAAGAGUCUGAGGUCCCCAUUUUGUAUUUGAAAAUGAAAGACAACAUUUAUUUGUUCUUUAUCUUUGAGUUCUAAGCCUGUUUCCACACCAAAAAAAGUGCGGGAGAAGAAUAAGAGAUAAAAAUGUGUUUGAAAUACAAGCUAUUCUUUGAAGCUCUUACAAUAUUUUAAAGCUUUUCCCUACAGCUAUUUAUUCCAUGCACUUAAUGUCUGUUUUUUGCUCUGAUAUAUAUUGCAAUUAUUUUUCAUCUUUAAUUUGAUUUUCUUUUAAUAACAUUGUUCAGAACAAUAAGGGGUGACAAAGACGACUAGCAUGCAUCAGAUAAUCCCUAUCUGACCAAGAUGAGUCGUUUUAAUUACGUAUGUGUACAUAUUGUGCCCUAGAUCUUCUUAAAGGUUUUAUGGUUUUAGGCAAUACAAUGGGAAAAUAACUUGUCAAAGAUUCAGAGUGUUAGCUCAAUAGUCUGGCUUUUACACAAGGUAUGGAGGGAUAGUCGCUCAUUAAAGUGACUCGUUUUUGUUAUGAAUGAUGAAUAUUAUACGUAUUGUCUCUUUUCUCAUUUCUUCUUUUUUUUUCCCCAGCUACAUGAACAGUCGGUUUUGGGACAGUAUUUGAUUACCUUGUUUGCCAGCUUUGAUUUCAUUGCUGGGAAGUUUUCUCUGAGCAUCAGAUAUUACUUAGAUAUGUAAACACUGCUCUAACCAGACGGUUCUGUCUCUGGUAAAGGAAUGGGAAUGUAAUGGAGUUUUUCUGUGUUCCCUAUUAUAACUCUGUUAGACAUUACUUAUAUGGUGCCUAGCCAAGGCUAAUAUAUUUAUUUUAUUCCCUGGCAAUUCUAAAUUGCCUGGGGUAAAAAAAUAAAGCUUUGUUUAAAGGAAAAAAUGAUUAAAAAUUGUUGAUUCUGAGAGGAAAUUAAAAAGUGUUCAACUUGACCCCACAUCAGAUACUUCUUUUUAGUUGCUAAGUAAUUUACUGUUUUCUUUAACAUAGAAUAACAUCCAAAAUGAAAUAUUUGACAAAAGUAUUUUGAUGAGAAAUGGUACUUAAGCAGUAAAAAAUGAAGACAACUUGUUGAAGUUGCUGGAUAGUUGUGAAGUGUUUAGAUCGCCCUGAAUUUGUGUUUGUUUUCAAAAGGAGAAGUUUCUUAACCCGCUUUCCUCCAGCUCAAGGGCAGCCCCCACCACCCGCGUGCCCUGGCGUUUACAUUCCGACGGACUCCUACAGGUUUACGUUCUUAAGAGGAGAAAUUUAUCCUUGAUGCCCGAACUCCCUAAAAUGUAAUAAAUAGUGACCCCUAAAAGCAGAGCUGUUGGGUGUUGCAACAACCUGCUGUGGCUGUACCCAGGGAGGGCCUGGAGAUAAUAAACAAUAAUAAACUGGUUAGAAACAAUUAGCUAUGUCAUCAGUGUUAUCUGGAUAAUUAACAGUCAGCUCUAUUAUCUGUGCUAUGUGUGUUGGUAACUGUGAAGAUAACCACCAGAAGUGUUGUAUUUGCUUAUGGUGAGAACAAACUAGAGAUUAUCUGCAUUUUACCCAAAAUUAAACUGAUCCAUUUUCAUUUACUGUGUUGCCAAAACAGAGAAUAUAUCGCUUAUCUAGUUAGUUCAGUGGAAUCCUUAGCUCCUAUAUAAGCAUUGUUAUGCUGCAAUUUCUUGCUACAUAUGCUACAUAUUUUAGCCUAGAUGAUGACCUUCAAAAGGAAUGAAUCCUGUUUUCUUUGAGUGUUUGAAUCCUUUCUUUGCAUUUCUUUUUAAAACCACUUUUAUUAUUUAAAGCCAACUUCUGUGUGGCUUAAUACGAGAUUCUCAAUCAGUUUCAUUUUAUAUCUGUGAUAUAAAUCUUUGAUCUUUAUUUUAGUUUUGUCUGCAAUGUAGCCACUAAGGAAAGUACUAAGGAUGUCUCUGAUUUUCUGUCAUUAAGACUGGAAUGAGGAUUUUCAUCCAAUUCAACAUGAGGUAACGCUUCUCCAGUCUACUUCUCACAUUUUAAGAAAAAAAUUAACAAAAUGCCACUACAGGGUUUUUUUUUAAUUCUUUUUUGGUGCUGUAAAUUGCAUUUUGAUGAUUCUCCGCUCCUCCCGCGCUGCCAGGCAGCAUCCCUUGUUGCUUCUAGCAAGAAUUGUCAUGGUGAUGCAUUCUGUUGACCACAUUUUGGAACACAGAUUGUUUCUAAUUUUGUUUCUUUAAUUUACUCUGGGUACUGUAAUAUCUCUGUUUCUUUCUCUCACUCUCUGUUUUUUUUUUGAAAUUUUAUCACGACAAACUAUAUAUAUAUAUGUACAUAUAUAUAUAUAUAUGUAAUAGGAUCUGCCCUCUCACCUUCCCAUAUGCAAACGUGCUGGGUGGUAUUUUCUUUCUGGCUUGUCCCUACAUGCGGAUCGCCGCGUUCUUGGCAUGGCCGGUUUGGCGGUGCCGGCGCUGCCCUCUCCGUGUACCGGCACUGGCUGCCAAACGCGCAUCUCGUCCCCUGUUCCCGCGAGCAUCCCGAGUGCUCUUCUGGCAGGAGGGAGCUGUUCUGCAGCCGCCAUCGAGACGUGCUUCAGAUCUUGAAUUGCUCUCUGUGAACGCACAAGAAGAAUGGGAAAACCCAACAGGGCAUCGAGAGUGGGGCUCGUUACCGACACUCAUUCCAUGGCUAAUUGUGCCUCCCCGGGAGAGGCCAAGCAGUGGCCUGAAGAGCACUCAUCCCUCAGAAAGGAUCGCGAGCUUUUAGCAGAGCUAACAGGCUUCAUGGAGAAAUUAAAUUUGGCAGUGAGAGCGCAGUACUUAGGUUAGUCUCAAGUAGUCUUGAGCUAUAAAAACGUUUCUGUGGGAGUUCUUGGCUGAGUGGAAAGGCUGAGAGAAGAGUCCAGCAGCUUGCAGGGUGGAGUGAUGCUGCUUUAUGCGUUUCAUGGUUGUGUUGAUGGUUUUAAGAGGAAGGGUUGGCCUAAAUUUCUGUCUGAGCAUUUCUUGUGCUUUUGUGCAAGGCCCAGAGGAAGGUUUUCCUCUGGUCCUGGUCCAUUUGGAGCCGGUGAGGCAGCCUGGGAUCUCCUGCCAUUCCCAUGUGUGAUGUAUAGACAAAGUUGUAAAUGCAAAGUGAAACUGGGGAGACUGGGUGCACUGGGAGUUAGACAAGCACAGCUCCUGUUGAUACUGAACAUGUUUUACUUUUUAGAAGUAAUUAAGUAGGUUUUGGGUCAAAGAGUGAGAAGGACAAUUUCUGUAGGGCCUGGCAGGUCAAGGUUUCUGUCUUGAAGACCGUACACCUGAGCCUGUGCACGGAUGGCUGGCUAACUGCUAACACACAGUGCAGCCACCUCGGGGGAGAGGUGGAGACGAUUGUCCUCUGGACACUUUGCAAUUGUCCCCUGGAUGCUUUGCAGCUUUGGAAGUGGGAGAUCAGGAUGUAAAAUGCUGCAGCAAAACAGGCAGAGGAGGAGAAAUCCUUUGAACCCAAGCCUCUGCCAUCUCCAGACAGUCUCUUAACUCCAAAAUAUGGAGAUAUAUAUCUAUACAUAUCUAUAUAUAGAGAGAGAUAUUUAUUUUUUUUAAAGGAAAAGUGAGUUUUAUCAUCCAUGCUUCAGGAAAGAGCUCCCAGCUGUGACCAUGGAGGGCAGUGGGGUGGGCUGGGGUGACACUUGUGUACCCAGAGGUGUGGGCACAGCCCUGGGGAUGGUGACCUGGGAAAUGAGCCCCUGGAGCAGGUUCCCAUGGGCU